rnacentral:rRNA from 1 species
AGAGUUUGAUCAUGGCUCAGGACGAACGCUGGCGGCGUGCUUAACACAUGCAAGUCGAGCGGAAAGGCCCUUCGGGGUACUCGAGCGGCGAACGGGUGAGUAACACGUGAGUAACCUGCCUCUGGCUUUGGGAUAACCCUCGGAAACGGGGGCUAAUACCGAAUAUUCACUUUUCCCUGCAUGGGGUUUGGUGGAAAGUUUUUCGGCUGGAGAUGGGCUCGCGGCCUAUCAGCUUGUUGGUGGGGUAAUGGCCUACCAAGGCGACGACGGGUAGCCGGCCUGAGAGGGCGACCGGCCACACUGGGACUGAGACACGGCCCAGACUCCUACGGGAGGCAGCAGUGGGGAAUAUUGCACAAUGGGCGAAAGCCUGAUGCAGCGACGCCGCGUGAGGGAUGACGGCCUUCGGGUUGUAAACCUCUUUCAGCAGGGACGAAGCGUAAGUGACGGUACCUGCAGAAGAAGCGCCGGCCAACUACGUGCCAGCAGCCGCGGUAAGACGUAGGGCGCGAGCGUUGUCCGGAUUUAUUGGGCGUAAAGAGCUCGUAGGCGGCUUGUUGCGUCGGCUGUGAAAACCCGCGGCUUAACCGUGGGCUUGCAGCCGAUACGGGCAGGCUAGAGUUCGGUAGGGGAGACUGGAAUUCCUGGUGUAGCGGUGAAAUGCGCAGAUAUCAGGAGGAACACCGGUGGCGAAGGCGGGUCUCUGGGCCGAUACUGACGCUGAGGAGCGAAAGCGUGGGGAGCGGAACAGGAUUAGAUACCCCCGUAGUCC